UACGGAAGGCAGCAGUGGGGAAUCUUGCGCAAUGGGCGAAAGCCUGACGCAGCCAUGCCGCGUGAAUGAUGAAGGUCUUAGGAUUGUAAAAUUCUUUCACCGGGGACGAUAAUGACGGUACCCGGAGAAGAAGCCCCGGCUAACUUCGUGCCAGCAGCCGCGGUAAUACGAAGGGGCUAGCGUUGCUCGGAAUUACUGGGCGUAAAGGGCACGCAGGCGGUUAAUUAAGUUGGAUGUGAAAUCCCCGGGCUUAACCUGGGAAUGGCAUUCAAGACUGGUUAGCUAGAGUCUUGUAGAGGGGGUAGAAUUCCAUGUGUAGCGGUGAAAUGCGUAGAGAUGUGGAGGAAUACCGGUGGCGAAGGCGGCCCCCUGGACAAAGACUGACGCUCAUGUGCGAAAGCGUGGGGAGCAAACAGGGAUUAGAUACC
rnacentral:rRNA from 1 species